rnacentral:lncRNA from 1 species
GAUUAUGUAUAACUAUUAUGUAGCCCAUGUAUGUAUUUGUUUGCUGGCUAAGACGCCUCUAAUUGAAACAACAAAUGCGCCUGGGCUUCAGCAAAUGGAAUCAACUCUUUCACACGUAGAAAAUGCUGUUGAAUGCGUGAAACACAAUUUAGCUAGUACAAAUUUGUUGUUUUGUUUUAUUCGAUUUGCGGCAGAAUUGUG